GAAGUUCUGUUAUACACUUUGACU
rnacentral:miRNA from 1 species